rnacentral:lncRNA from 1 species
AAUAAGAAACCCACUGCUGUUGUCAAAUUAGGAAGGUACUAAGUGAUUUAUAGAAGCUUGAAAGUUUAUUAGAGACCCACUCUGUGUUUUGAAGGGUUCAUGAUUAUUCGUGAUUAAACAAUGGAUUUAAAGCAAGGGAUUGAGGUCGUGAAAUAUGUAGAAGAAUUUGAUCUAUGCAACGGAGUUAUACCCGCUUUUAUUUAGGUAAAAUGCACAGGUUUCGUGGCUAGUAUUAAGUAUUAUGAUUGUUAUAUGGAAUAUGUAGAAGAAUUGGAACUGUCCUCUCGAGUGAAGCCACUUUGAUUAGUCGAACGUAGGCAUUGAGGGAUAAGUAAAGGAAGUGAUUAUUAUGAUGUUAUAUUAUGAAAUGAUAAAUUGAUGAUUAAAUGACAAAUGAUUGUUAUAUGAAAUAUGUAUAUGAAGAUAAAUUAUGUACACUGUAGAACUGUUAUUAUGUGGAGAAAAAUGAAGAAAUAUAGUUAUAGUACCAGACAAGAAGAAGAA